GACGAACGCUGGCGGCGUGCUUAACACAUGCAAGUCGAACGGAAAGGCCCUGCUUUUGUGGGGUGCUCGAGUGGCGAACGGGUGAGUAACACGUGAGUAACCUGCCCUUGACUUUGGGAUAACUUCAGGAAACUGGGGCUAAUACCGGAUAGGAGCUCCUGCUGCAUGGUGGGGGUUGGAAAGUUUCGGCGGUUGGGGAUGGACUCGCGGCUUAUCAGCUUGUUGGUGGGGUAGUGGCUUACCAAGGCUUUGACGGGUAGCCGGCCUGAGAGGGUGACCGGCCACAGUGGGACUGAGGUACGGCCCAGACUCCUACGGGAGGCAGCAGUGGGGAAUAUUGCACAAUGGGCGGAAGCCUGAUGCAGCAACGCCGCGGGCGGGAUGACGGCCUUCGGGUUGUAAACCGCUUUCGCCUGUGACGAAGCGUGAGUGACGGUAAUGGGUAAAGAAGCACCGGCUAACUACGUG
rnacentral:rRNA from 1 species